GCUAGCGUAGCUCAACGGUAGAGCUCUCGCCUUGUAAGCGAGGGGUUAUGGGUUCAAAUCCCAUCGCUAGCU
rnacentral:tRNA from 1 species